GAUGAACGCUGGCGGCGUGCCUAAUACAUGCAAGUCGAGCGAACAGACGAGGAGCUUGCUCCUCUGACGUUAGCGGCGGACGGGUGAGUAACACGUGGAUAACCUACCUAUAAGACUGGGAUAACUUCGGGAAACCGGAGCUAAUACCGGAUAAUAUAUUGAACCGCAUGGUUCAAUAGUGAAAGACGGUUUUGCUGUCACUUAUAGAUGGAUCCGCGCCGCAUUAGCUAGUUGGUAAGGUAACGGCUUACCAAGGCAACGAUGCGUAGCCGACCUGAGAGGUUGCGCGGCCAAACUAGAACUGCGACACGGUCCAGAGUCCUACGGGAGGCCGCAGUACGGAAUCUUCCGCAAUGGGCGGAAUCCUGACGGAGCAACGCCGCGUGAGUGAUGAAGGUCUUCGGAUCGUAAAACUCUGUUAUUAGGGAAGAACAUAUGUGUAAGUAACCGUGCACAUCUUGACGGUACCUAAUCAGAAAGCCACGGCUAACUACGUG
rnacentral:rRNA from 1 species